GUCCUUUUGAUUAUAAUUUAAGGUCUAACCUGCCCACUGAAGUUUUAAAUGGCCGUGGUAUUUUGACCGUGCUAAGGUAGCAUAAUCAUUAGUUUUUUAAUUAAGAACUGGAAUGAAAGGUUGGAUAAAAAAAUAACUGUCUCUGUUAAAUUUAAUUAAAAUUUUAUUUUUAAGUAAAAAAGCUUAAGUUUAUUUAAAAGACGAGAAGACCCUAUAGAGUUUUAUUAUUUAAUAAAAAUUAUAUUUUAGUAUUUAUUUAUUUAUUUUAUUUAAUAAUUUAAUUGGGGUGAUUGAAAAAUUUAAUAAACUUUUUUUAUUUAAUAACAUUAAUUAAUGAUAAAAUGAUCCAAUAUUUUUGAUUAUAAGAUAAAAUUACCUUAGGGAUAACAGCGUAAUUUUUUUAUAAAGUUCAUAUUAAAAGAAAAGAUUGCGACCUCGAUGUUGGAUUAAAAUAAAUUUUUGGUGUAGAAGCUAAAAUAUUAGGUCUGUUCGACCUUUAAAAUUUUAC
rnacentral:rRNA from 1 species